AUGGUUAAGUUAGAAAGGGCGCACGGUGAAUGCCUUGGCACUAGGAGCCGAUGAAGGACGGGACUAACACCGAUAUGCUUCGGGGAGCUGUAAGUGAGCUUUGAUCCGGAGAUUUCCGAAUGGGGAAACCCACUGUUCGUAAUGGAACAGUAUCUUUAUCUGAAUACAUAGGAUAUUGAAGGCAGACCCGGGGAACUGAAACAUCUAAGUACCCGGAGGAAGAGAAAGCAAAUGCGAUUUCCUGAGUAGCGGCGAGCGAAACGGAAUUAGCCCAAACCAAGAGGCUUGCCUCUUGGGGUUGUAGGACACUCUAUACGGAGUUACAAAGGAACGAAGUAAAUGAAGCGACCUGGAAAGGUCCGUCGAAGAAGGUAACAACCCUGUAGUUGAAACUUCGUUCCCUCUUGAGUGGAUCCUGAGUACGGCGGAACACGUGAAAUUCCGUCGGAAGCUGGGAGGACCAUCUCCCAAGGCUAAAUACUACCUAGUGACCGAUAGUGAACCAGUACCGUGAGGGAAAGGUGAAAAGCACCCCGGAAGGGGAGUGAAAGAGAUCCUGAAACCGUGUGCCUACAAGUAGUCAGAGCCCGUUAACGGGUGAUGGCGUGCCUUUUGUAGAAUGAACCGGCGAGUUACGAUCCCAUGCAAGGUUAAGCUGAUAAGGCGGAGCCGUAGCGAAAGCGAGUCUGAAUAGGGCGUUUAGUAUGUGGUUGUAGACCCGAAACCAGGUGAUCUACCCAUGUCCAGGGUGAAGUUCAGGUAACACUGAAUGGAGGCCCGAACCCACGCACGUUGAAAAGUGCGGGGAUGAGGUGUGGGUAGCGGAGAAAUUCCAAUCGAACCUGGAGAUAGCUGGUUCUCUCCGAAAUAGCUUUAGGGCUAGCCUCAUGUUGUGAGAGUCUUGGAGGUAGAGCACUGAUUGGACUAGGGGCCCCCAACGGGUUACCGAAUUCAGUCAAACUCCGAAUGCCAAAGACUUAUCCAUGGGAGUCAGACUGCGAGUGAUAAGAUCCGUAGUCAAAAGGGAAACAGCCCAGACCACCAGCUAAGGUCCCCAAGUAUACGUUAAGUGGAAAAGGAUGUGGAGUUGCUUAGACAACCAGGAUGUUGGCUUAGAAGCAGCCACCAUUUAAAGAGUGCGUAAUAGCUCACUGGUCGAGUGACUCUGCGCCGAAAAUGUACCGGGGCUAAACGUAUCACCGAAGCUGUGGAUUGACAUCUUUGAUGUCAGUGGUAGGAGAGCGUUCUAAGUGCAGCGAAGUCAGACCGUAAGGACUGGUGGAGCGCUUAGAAGUGAGAAUGCCGGUAUGAGUAGCGAAAGACAAGUGAGAAUCUUGUCCACCGAAUGCCUAAGGUUUCCUGAGGAAGGCUCGUCCGCUCAGGGUUAGUCGGGACCUAAGCCGAGGCUGAAAAGCGUAGGCGAUGGCCAACAGGUUGAUAUUCCUGUACCACCUCCCCGCCGUUUGAGUAAUGGGGGACGCAGUAGGAUAGGGUAAGCGCGCUGCUGGAUAUGCGCGUUCAAGCAGUUAGGCUGAUGAGUAGGCAAAUCCGCUCAUCAUAAAGGCUGAGCUGUGAUGACGAGGGAAUUAUAGUACCGAAGUUCCUGAUUCCACACUGCCAAGAAAAGCCUCUAGCGAGGCGGGAGGUGCCCGUACCGCAAACCGACACAGGUAGGCGAGGAGAGAAUCCUAAGGUGAUCGAGAGAACUCUCGUUAAGGAACUCGGCAAAAUGACCCCGUAACUUCGGGAGAAGGGGUGCUCUGGUAGGGUGUAUAGCCCGAGAGAGCCGCAGUGAAUAGGCCCAGGCGACUGUUUAGCAAAAACACAGGUCUCUGCGAAGCCGCAAGGCGAAGUAUAGGGGCUGACGCCUGCCCGGUGCUGGAAGGUUAAGAGGAGGGGUUAUCCUUUGGGAGAAGCUCUGAAUCGAAGCCCCAGUAAACGGCGGCCGUAACUAUAACGGUCCUAAGGUAGCGAAAUUCCUUGUCGGGUAAGUUCCGACCCGCACGAAAGGCGUAACGAUCUGGGCACUGUCUCAACGAGAGACUCGGUGAAAUUAUAGUACCUGUGAAGAUGCAGGUUACCCGCGACAGGACGGAAAGACCCCGUGGAGCUUUACUGUAGCCUGAUAUUGAAUUUUGGUACAGCUUGUACAGGAUAGGUAGGAGCCUGAGAAGCCGGAGCGCUAGCUUCGGUGGAGGCGUCGGUGGGAUACUACCCUGGCUGUAUUGAAAUUCUAACCCGCGGCCCUGAUCGGGCCGGGAGACAGUGUCAGGUGGGCAGUUUGACUGGGGCGGUCGCCUCCUAAAAUGUAACGGAGGCGCCCAAAGGUUCCCUCAGAAUGGUUGGAAAUCAUUCGUAGAGUGUAAAGGCACAAGGGAGCUUGACUGCGAGACCUACAAGUCGAGCAGGGACGAAAGUCGGGCUUAGUGAUCCGGUGGUUCCGCAUGGAAGGGCCAUCGCUCAACGGAUAAAAGCUACCCCGGGGAUAACAGGCUUAUCUCCCCCAAGAGUCCACAUCGACGGGGAGGUUUGGCACCUCGAUGUCGGCUCAUCGCAUCCUGGGGCUGUAGUCGGUCCCAAGGGUUGGGCUGUUCGCCCAUUAAAGCGGUACGCGAGCUGGGUUCAGAACGUCGUGAGACAGUUCGGUCCCUAUCCGUCGUGGGCGUAGGAAAUUUGAGAGGAGCUGUCCUUAGUACGAGAGGACCGGGAUGGACACACCGCUGGUGUACCAGUUGUCUUGCCAAAGGCAUCGCUGGGUAGCUAUGUGUGGACGGGAUAAGUGCUGAAAGCAUCUAAGCAUGAAGCCCCCCUCAAGAUGAGAUUUCCCAUAGCGCAAGCUAGUAAGAUCCCUGAAAGAUGAUCAGGUUGAUAGGUCAGAGGUGGAAGCGUGGCGACAUGUGUAGCUGACUGAUACUAAUCGAUCGAGGACUUAACCAAAC
rnacentral:rRNA from 2 species